rnacentral:rRNA from 1 species
GAUCCUGGCUCAGGACGAACGCUGGCGGCGCGCCUAACACAUGCAAGUCGAACGGUGAAGAGGAGCUUGCUCCUCGGAUCAGUGGCGGACGGGUGAGUAACACGUGAGCAACCUGGCUCUAAGAGGGGGACAACAGUUGGAAACGACUGCUAAUACCGCGUGAUGUAUCGGGAUGGCACCUUCCUGAUACCAAAGAUUUAUCGCUUAGAGAUGGGCUCGCGUCUGAUUAGA